rnacentral:rRNA from 1 species
GUGAGGAAUAUUGGUCAAUGGGCGGGAGCCUGAACCAGCCAAGUCACGUGAAGGAAGAAGGAUCUAUGGUUCGUAAACUUCUUUUGCAGGGGAAUAAAGUGCAGGACGUGUCCUGUUUUGUAUGUACCCUGAGAAUAAGGAUCGGCUAACUCCGUGCCAGCAGCCGCGGUAAUACGGAGGAUCCGAGCGUUAUCCGGAUUUAUUGGGUUUAAAGGGUGCGUAGGUGGUUUGAUAAGUCAGCGGUGAAAGUUUGCAGCUUAACUGUAAAAAUGCCGUUGAAACUGUCGGACUUGAGUGUAAAUGAGGUAGGCGGAAUGCGUGGUGUAGCGGUGAAAUGCAUAGAUAUCACGCAGAACUCCGAUUGCGAAGGCAGCUUACUAAGCUACAACUGACACUGAAGCACGAAAGCGUGGGGAUCAAACAGGAUUAGAAACCCGGGUAGUCC